rnacentral:rRNA from 1 species
GACGAACGCUGGCGGCGUGCCUAAUACAUGCAAGUCGAGCGGAGAUCCUUUUAGGAUCUCAGCGGCGGACGGGUGAGUAACACGUGGGUAACCUGCCUGUAAGACUGGGAUAACACCGGGAAACCGGUGCUAAUACCGGAUAAUUCUUUCCCUCACAUGAGGGAAAGCUUAAAAGACGGUUUCGGCUGUCACUUACAGAUGGGCCCGCGGCGCAUUAGCUAGUUGGUGAGGUAACGGCUCACCAAGGCGACGAUGCGUAGCCGACCUGAGAGGGUGAUCGGCCACACUGGGACUGAGACACGGCCCAGACUCCUACGGGAGGCAGCAGUAGGGAAUCUUCCGCAAUGGACGAAAGUCUGACGGAGCAACGCCGCGUGAGCGAUGAAGGCCUUCGGGUCGUAAAGCUCUGUUGUCAGGGAAGAACAAGUAUCGGAGUAACUGCCGGUACCUUGACGGUACCUGACCAGAAAGCCACGGCUAACUACGUGCCAGCCGCCGCGGUAAAAC